rnacentral:rRNA from 1 species
GAUGAACGCUGGCGGCGUGCCUAAUACAUGCAAGUAGAACGCUGAAGGAAGGAGCUUGCUCUUUCCGGAUGAGUUGCGAACGGGUGAGUAACGCGUAGGUAACCUGCCUGGUAGCGGGGGAUAACUAUUGGAAACGAUAGCUAAUACCGCAUAACAGUAGAUGUUGCAUGACAACUAUUUGAAAGGGGCAAUUGCUCCACUACCAGAUGGACCUGCGUUGUAUUAGCUAGUUGGUGAGGUAACGGCUCACCAAGGCGACGAUACAUAGCCGACCUGAGAGGGUGAUCGGCCACACUGGGACUGAGACACGGCCCAGACUCCUACGGGAGGCAGCAGUAGGGAAUCUUCGGCAAAGGACGGAAGUCUGACCGAGCAACGCCGCGUGAGUGAAGAAGGUUUUCGGAUCGUAAAGCUCUGUUGUAAGAGAAGAACGAGUGUGAGAGUGGAAAGUUCACACUGUGACGGUAUCUUACCAGAAAGGGACGGCUAACUACGUG